rnacentral:lncRNA from 1 species
CUUAUUUCAAAAUCUCUUAUCUCAAUCACAAGAUCAAGACAUAAAAGAUCCAAAGAUCAAAUACCAAAACUCAAAUCCUUUACUCAUAAUCUUUUAGAGUACUAAAGUUGGAGAGAGGCGAACUGAGUUCUAGUUGGAGGAGAACGAGGUUCGUUCUUAUGAUCUACACGGAUGGAAAGAGUGGUAGUUAAGGAUGACUUGCCUGCUCUACUCAGAAGAUCCAUAUUAUGUGAUCAUUUGCUUGGUUUCAGGCAGUCAUCCUGGCUAAUUUGACGGCCUCUUCUCUUCAUGUGAGACCAUCUCUCCUAUUUCAAAGCCAUUGCACUCCACUUUGUCAAAACAACUGAUUUCUGUGCAUCAUUUAAUCAGAUAAGGUAAAUGACUGACACAUGCAUGUGGAUAUAUUAUUGGUUGUAUGUACAACAUUUGGAUCACUUCUGAAACCAUUGUUUAGCGAAAAUUAAAAUUGAGAUUUUAAUUCAAAUUAAAGUCAAUAAUUAAUUUUAACCACAUAUUUUAUAGGACCAACAACUUUUUAUCCACACGUUUCAUCAAUUUCUAUGAAAAUAUAAUUUUAAUUUCUACCAAACAGGACAAAACUAUACCCAUUUUGACGAAAUAUCAUAAUUUGAUUAUAUAGGAUUUGAUUAAAAGGCCUCGUCCCUGGAAGGUUUGGUUAAAAGUCUCCACUUAAUAGUUUUUUUAUUAAAUGAUCUCUAGUCUAGUUUUUAAUGCUUGUAAUUGGUUUUUAUUAAAAUUAGAUUUCUACUAAAUUUUUAUAGAACUUGAUGAAAUAUAUGGUUAAAAUUAAUUGUCGACGUUGACAUGAAAUAAAGGCAAUGUAGAUUUUCCUUAGCCUCUAUAUAUCUUAAAUUUGUCCCCCGGGGCAUAGCCUAGUGGUAUAAAGGAUAGGAGUGAGGUUAUUUCACGCCUUACUUGCAGUCGCAGUGUGGGGGUUCGAUUCCUGAGAUAUGGAAUUGAACUCUUUGUAGGCGAGUGUACAGGCAGCUCUUGUUCCCUAGCCUGUUGGGGCACAUCCCGCGAUUUAUCUCCCUCACAAAGCUUUAGGGACGGGGCAGGGCAAGGCCCUCAAGGUUGGGGUUCAACU